rnacentral:rRNA from 1 species
GACGAACGCUGGCGGCGUGCUUAACACAUGCAAGUCGAACGGCAAGGCCCUGCUUUUGUGGUGUUCUCGAGUGGCGAACGGGUGAGUAACACGUGAGUAACCUGCCCUUGACUUUGGGGUAACUUCAGGAAACUGGGGCUAAUACCGUAUAGGAGCUCCUGCUGCAUGGUGGGGGUUGGAAAUUUUCGGCGGUUGGGGAUGGACUCGCGGCUUAUCAGCUUGUUGGUUGGGUAGUGGCUUACCAAGGCUUUGACGGGUAGCCGGCCUGAGAGGGUGACCGGCCACAUUGGGACUGAGAGACGGCCCAGACUCCUACGGGAGGCAGCAGUGGGGAAUAUUGCACAAUGGGCGGAAGCCUGAUGCAGCAACGCCGCGUGCGGGAUGACGGCCUUCGGGUUGUAAACCGCUUUCGCCUGUGACGAAGCGUGAGUGACGGUAAUGGGUAAAGAAGCACCGGCUAACUACGUG